rnacentral:rRNA from 1 species
GAUGAACGCUGGCGGCGUGCCUAAUACAUGCAAGUCGAGCGAACGGACGAGAAGCUUGCUUCUCUGAUGUUAUCGGCGGACGGGUGAGUAACACGUGGAUAACCUACCUAUAAGACUGGGAUAACUUCGGGAAACCGGAGCUAAUACCGGAUAAUAUUUUGAACCGCAUGGUUCAAAAGUGAAAGACGGUCUUGCUGUCACUUAUAGAUGGAUCCGCGCUGCAUUAGCUAGUUGGUAAGGUAACGGCUUACCAAGGCAACGAUGCAUAGCCGACCUGAGAGGGUGAUCGGCCACACUGGAACUGAGACACGGUCCAGACUCCUACGGGAGGCAGCAGUAGGGAAUCUUCCGCAAUGGGCGAAAGCCUGACGGAGCAACGCCGCGUGAGUGAUGAAGGUCUUCGGAUCGUAAAACUAUGUUAUUAGGGAAGAACAUAUGUGUAAGUAACUGUGCACAUCUUGACGGUACCUAAUCAGAAAGCCACGGCUAACUACGUG